CAGUAGCCGCGGUAAUACGUAGGGUGCGAGCGUUAAUCGGAAUUACUGGGCGUAAAGCGUGCGCAGGCGGCUUUGCAAGACAGAUGUGAAAUCCCCGGGCUCAACCUGGGAACUGCAUUUGUGACUGCAAGGCUAGAGUGCGGCAGAGGGAGAUGGAAUUCCGCGUGUAGCAGUGAAAUGCGUAGCUAUGCGGAGGAACACCGAUGGCGAAGGCAAUCUCCUGGGCCUGCACUGACGCUCAUGCACGAAAGCGUGGGGAGCAAACAGGAUUAGAUACCCCUGUAGUCCCUGUCUCUUAUAC
rnacentral:rRNA from 1 species